rnacentral:rRNA from 1 species
CACGUAAGGGGCAAGCGUUGUUCGGAAUUACUGGGCGUAAAGCGCACGUAGGCGGCUUUGUAAGUUAGAGGUGAAAGCCCGGAGCUCAACUCCGGAAUUGCCUUUAAGACUGCAUCGCUAGAACGUUGGAGAGGUAAGUGGAAUUCCGAGUGUAGAGGUGAAAUUCGUAGAUAUUCGGAAGAACACCAGUGGCGAAGGCGACUUACUGGACAACUGUUGACGCUGAGGUGCGAAAGCGUGGGGAGCAAAC